rnacentral:rRNA from 1 species
UACGGGGGGGGCAAGCGUUGUUCGGAAUUACUGGGCGUAAAGGGCUCGUAGGCGGCCAACUAAGUCAGACGUGAAAUCCCUCGGCUUAACCGGGGAACUGCGUCUGAUACUGGAUGGCUUGAGUUUGGGAGAGGGAUGCGGAAUUCCAGGUGUAGCGGUGAAAUGCGUAGAUAUCGGGAGGAACACCGGUGGCGAAGGCGGCAUCCUGGACCGACACUGACGCUGAGGAGCGAAAGCCAGGGGAGCAAACGGG